GCGCCCUUAGCUCAAUGGACCAGAGCACCUGGCUUCGGACCAGGGGGUUGGGGGUUCGAAUCCUCCAGGGCGCGCCA
rnacentral:tRNA from 1 species